GAUGAACGCUGGCGGCGUGCCUAAUACAUGCAAGUCGAGCGAACAGACGAGGAGCUUUGCUCCCUGACGGUAGCGGCGGACGGGUGAGUAACACGUGGAGAACCUAGCCAUAUGACUGGGAUAACCUCGGGAAACCGGAGCCUAUACCGGCUAAUAUAUGCAACCGCAUGGUGCAAUAGUGAAAGACGGCUUUGCUGUGACUGAGAGAUGGAUCCGCGCCGCAUUAGCUAGUUGGUAAGGUAACGGCUUACCAAGGCAACGAUGCGUAGCCGACCUGAGAGGGUGACCGGCCACACUGGAACUGAGACACGGUCCAGACUCCUACGGGAGGCAGCAGUAGGGAAUCUUCCGCAAUGGGCGAAAGCCUGACGGAGCCACGCCGCGUGAGUGAUGAAGGUCUUCGGAUCGUAAAACUCUGUUAUUAGGGAAGAACAAAUGUGUAAGUAACUAUGCACGUCUUGACGGUACCUAAUCAGAAAGCCACGGCUAACUACGUG
rnacentral:rRNA from 1 species